GACGAACGCUGGCGGCGUGCUUAACACAUGCAAGUCGAACGGAAAGGCCCUGCUUUUGUGGGGUGCUCGAGUGGCGAACGGGUGAGUAACACGUGAGUAACCUGCCCUUGACUUUGGGAUAACUUCUGGAAACUGGGGCUAAUACCGGAUAGGAGCUCCUGCUGCAUGGUGGGGGUUGGAAAGUUUCGGCGGUUGGGGAUGGACUCGCGGCUUAUCAGCUUGUUGGUGGGGUAGUGGCUUACCAAGGCCUUGACGGGUAGCCGGCCUGAGAGGGUGACCGGCCACAUUGGGACUGAGAUACGGCCCAGACUCCUACGGGAGGCAGCAGUGGGGAAUAUUGCACAAUGGGCGGAAGCCUGAUGCAGCAACGCCGCGUGCGGGAUGACGGCCUUCGGGUUGUAAACCGCUUUCGCCUGUGACGAAGCGUGAGUGACGGUAAUGGGUAAAGAAGCACCGGCUAACUACGUG
rnacentral:rRNA from 1 species